UCCAAGCGCAUUGGCUACUGACGCAAAGAGCGGCUCCGUCACCAUAGCCAUCGCAUUCUUAUUCUCAUCCAAUGCCUGCACCACAUGCACCACUCCUGGAUGCCUCAGCCUCACCAAACGCGAUGCAUCAGCCCGAAUCACAUCCAGAAACGAGUCCUCCGCCGCCUUCGACAGUCCCGCCCGGACACGAGCCUCCGACAAUGUCCUCUUGUCCAGUACCCAAACACAAACAGUGGGAUACUGGUGUGCGCGCGUGGAAUCACGUGCAGACUUAGCAGAGUAUAAUUUCCAAGCAAGGCCAGGUCCAGCGGAGCCGAUCUGGUCGAGGAGCUCAUAGUCCUGCAAGGGCUUUGGACCGGUUACUUCCUGUACGGUCGUCUGCACGGUCUUCUCGAUCACCGCUGCCGUCUUGGCAAGCGCUUGCGUUAGGGUUUUCAUGUUCAGAGACAUUUUCUUCUAUCUGAGACUAUAUAGAAGCCACCAAAUUACAAAUCAAUAAAUAUGUAUAUAUAGGUGUCUAACUCUCUAUAUUGAUAUAUUUGUAGGUUCUUUGAGCGGAAAGAGGAGGAGGCGGUGGUGUCGGUGGUG
rnacentral:misc_RNA from 1 species